GAACCUAGGCACAGAGGUUAAGUGCUCUGCAAAUAAUACCAGCCAGUGGUGGUAGUAUUCGCCAGAACCAAGUUCUUGCCUUCCAGUGGACACCAUUGACCUCUCAAGAUUAUUCUUUAAGUUAAAAAGAGCUGAAAGCCUGCAGACUACAUUUUGUUAAGUCUUUGGUAAACACAUUUCAUAUUAAUUUCUGUUACAAGGCAGCAGAAAUAGGCACAGUGCCUCCAACAUAUCAAAGGAAAGUAAAGGCUAGUGGAAGGGGAUAACAGCUUCCUGACCUCCAGGUCCAAUGGAAAAGUCCCAUUACAUUGACUAGGACCCACACUUCUGAAGAAUUAUGAAAACACAGAGCAUUUUGCAACAAAUUAUAUAAUCAUGUAAAUAGUCAACUAAUAAUAAACAGUAAACUGAUAA
rnacentral:antisense_RNA from 1 species